rnacentral:rRNA from 1 species
UUCAGCGACCAUAGCGCUGUGGUACCACCCGAUCCCAUUCCGAACUCGGAAGUGAAACGCAGCUGCGCCGAUGGUAGUGUGGCUCAAGCCAUGUGAGAGUAGGUCAUCGCUGAAC